AAGUAUCUCAUUAAUAUCCCUAUCAGUUGCACUAGGAUGCGAAAGAAAAAAAUCCCUGUGCUUUCUGUCUGUAUUUAUGGCAGCCCAGAUUGAAUGGUGGAAUACAUCU
rnacentral:snoRNA from 1 species